UUUAGUCCAAUAUGCACAGACUAGUGCUGUAUCUACCUUUUGUGCUACACCUGUUUUUUCUACGUGUGCUACGCCUGUUACAUCUUCAGCUGUCACGUCGAUUCCAUCUGUACCACCUUCAAACGGGUGUUAUAACAUCAUAACCACAUCUAUGGCUAACUCUAAGAUCACCUUUUUUUGUUUGACAGUGUUUAGGAAUCAAGUUAUGGCAAUAUUUUGUGUAUAAAAUAUAACAAUUACAUUUAAAAAGUGCUUAUUUCUGACAAAAA